UACGUAGGCAGCGAGCGUUGUUCGGAAUUACUGGGCGUAAAGAGUGUGUAGGCGGUGCUCUAAGUUCGGUGUGAAUUCUCCCGGCUUAACUGGGAGGGUGCGCCGGAAACUGGAGUGCUCGAGCGUGGGAGAGGAAAGCGGAAUUCCUGGUGUAGCGGUGAAAUGCGUAGAUAUCAGGAGGAACACCUGCGGUGUAGACGGCUUUCUGGACCAUUGCUGACGCUGAGACACGAAAGCGUGGGUAGCAAACAGG
rnacentral:rRNA from 1 species